rnacentral:rRNA from 1 species
UACGUAGGGUGCAAGCGUUAAUCGGAAUUACUGGGCGUAAAGCGUGCGCAGGCGGUUUUGUAAGACUGUCGUGAAAUCCCCGGGCUUAACCUGGGAAUGGCAUUUGGGACUGCACGGCUAGAGUGUGGCAGAGGGGGGUGGAAUUCCGCGUGUAGCAGUGAAAUGCGUAGAGAUGCGGAGGAACACCGAUGGCGAAGGCAGCCCCCUGGGUUAACACUGACACUCAUGCGCGAAAGCGUGGGGAGCAAACAGG